UCCGUAGGCGGAUUGAUAAGUCAGAGGUGAAAUCCCACAGCUUAACUGUGGAACUGCCUUUGAAACUGUUAGUCUUGAGUUAUAUGGAAGUAGAUAGAAUGUGUAGUGUAGCGGUGAAAUGCAUAGAGAUUACACAGAAUACCGAUUGCGAAGGCAGUCUACUAAGUAUAUACUGACGCUAAUGGACGAAAGCGUGGGGAGCGAACAGGAUUAGAUACCCUGGUAGUCC
rnacentral:rRNA from 1 species